rnacentral:rRNA from 1 species
UUGAUCCUGGCUCACAACGAACGCUGGCGGCGCGUUUUAAGCAUGCAAGUCGAACGGUAGUAAGGUGCUUGCACCUUAUGAGAGUGGCGAACGGGUGAGUAACACGUAUGUGAUCUACCGUAAAGUUGGGGAUAGCCUGUGGAAACACAGGGUAAUACCGGAUAAUUCUUAUUGUUUACGGACGAUAAGGGAAAGGGGCCACGGCCCUGCUUUUCGAAGAGCCUGCGUUCCAUUAGUUAGUUGGCAGGGUAACGGCCUACCAAGGCGACGGUGGAUAGCCGGCCUGAGAGGGUGACCGGCCACACUGGGACUGAGACACGGCCCAGACUCCUACGGGAGGCAGCAGCUAAGAAUCUUCCGCAAUGGGCGAAAGCCUGACGGAGCGACGCCGCGUGGACGAAGAAGGCCGGAAGGUUGUAAAGUCCUUUUCUCGAUGAAGAAUAAGGCAGCGAGGGAAUGCGCUGUCGAUGACAUUAGUUGAGGAAUAAGCCCCGGCUAAUUACGUGCCAGCAGCCGCGGUAACACAUAAGGGGCGAGCGUUGUUCGGAAUUAUUGGGCGUAAAGGGCGCGUAGGCGGCUUGGCAAGCCUGGUGUGAAAGGCCACAGCUUAACUGUGGGAGUGCGCUGGGAACUGCCUAGCUAGAGUUUCGGAGGGGAAGCUGGAAUUCCUGGUGUAAGGGUGAAAUCUGUAGAUAUCAGGAAGAACCAUCUGUGGCGAAGGCGAGCUUCUGGCCAGAAACUGACGCUGAGGCGCGAAAGCGUGGGGAGCGAACAGGAUUAGAUACCCUGGUAGUCCAGGCUGUAAACGAUGUGCACUAGGU